CCUACGGGAGGCAGCAGUGGGGAAUAUUGGGCAAUGGGCGCAAGCCUGACCCAGCAACGCCGCGUGAAGGAAGAAGGCUUUCGGGUUGUAAACUUCUUUUCGCAGGGACGAAGAAAGUGACGGUACCUGAGGAAUAAGCCACGGAUAACUACGUGCCAGCAGCCGCGGUAAUACGUAGGUGGCGAGCGUUAUCGGGAAUGAUUGGGCGUAAAGGGUGCGUAGGCGGCCUGCUAAGUCUGGAGUGAAAGGUACGGGAUCAAACGGUACAGGCUCUGGAAACUGGCGGGCUAGAGAGCAGGAGAGGGCGGUGGAACUCCAUGUGUAGCGGUAAAAUGCGUAGAUAUAUGGAAGAACACCAGUGGCGAAGGCGGCCGCCUGGCCUGUUACUGACGCUGAGGCACGAAAGCGUGGGGAGCAAAUAGGAUUAGAUACCCUUGUAGUC
rnacentral:rRNA from 1 species